ACGAUGAUGCCCAGCUUGCUGGGCGGAUUAGUGGCGAACGGGUGAGUAAUACGUGAGUAACCUGCCCUUGACUCUGGGAUAAGCCUGGGAAACUGGGUCUAAUACUGGAUACUACCUCUUGCCGCAUGGUGGGUGGUGGAAAGGGUUUUACUGGUUUUGGAUGGGCUCACGGCCUAUCAGCUUGUUGGUGGGGUAAUGGCUCACCAAGGCGACGACGGGUAGCCGGCCUGAGAGGGUGACCGGCCACACUGGGACUGAGACACGGCCCAGACUCCUACGGGAGGCAGCAGUGGGGAAUAUUGCACAAUGGGCGGAAGCCUGAUGCAGCGACGCCGCGUGAGGGAUGACGGCCUUCGGGUUGUAAACCUCUUUCAGUAGGGAAGAAGCGAGAGUGACGGUACCUGCAGAAGAAGCGCCGGCUAACUACGUGCCAGCAGCCGCGGUAAUACGUAGGGCGCAAGCGUUGUCCGGAAUUAUUGGGCGUAAAGAGCUCGUAGGCGGUUUGUCGCGUCUGCUGUGAAAGCCCGGGGCUCAACCCCGGGUCUGCAGUGGGUACGGGCAGACUAGAGUGCAGUAGGGGAGACUGGAAUUCCUGGUGUAGCGGUGAAAUGCGCAGAUAUCAGGAGGAACACCGAUGGCGAAGGCAGGUCUCUGGGCUGUUACUGACGCUGAGGAGCGAAAGCAUGGGGAGCGAACAGGAUUAGAUACCCUGGUAGUCCAUGCCGUAAACGUUGGGCACUAGGUGUGGGGGACAUUCCACGUUUUCCGCGCCGUAGCUAACGCAUUAAGUGCCCCGCCUGGGGAGUACGGCCGCAAGGCUAAAACUCAAAGGAAUUGACGGGGGCCCGCACAAGCGGCGGAGCAUGCGGAUUAAUUCGAUGCAACGCGAAGAACCUUACCAAGGCUUGACAUUCACCGGACCGCCCCAGAGAUGGGGUUUCCCUUCGGGGCUGGUGGACAGGUGGUGCAUGGUUGUCGUCAGCUCGUGUCGUGAGAUGUUGGGUUAAGUCCCGCAACGAGCGCAACCCUCGUUCUAUGUUGCCAGCACGUGAUGGUGGGGACUCAUAGGAGACUGCCGGGGUCAACUCGGAGGAAGGUGGGGAUGACGUCAAAUCAUCAUGCCCCUUAUGUCUUGGGCUUCACGCAUGCUACAAUGGCCGGUACAAAGGGUUGCGAUACUGUGAGGUGGAGCUAAUCCCAAAAAGCCGGUCUCAGUUCGGAUUGAGGUCUGCAACUCGACCUCAUGAAGUCGGAGUCGCUAGUAAUCGCAGAUCAGCAACGCUGCGGUGAAUACGUUCCCGGGCCUUGUACACACCGCCCGUCAAGUCA
rnacentral:rRNA from 1 species